rnacentral:ncRNA from 1 species
UAUUGGGGCGCUUCCCGCGGUGGGAGGCUGAGAUGCACCCUUUGAACCUGAUCCGGGUAAUGCCGGCGUAGGAAAUUAC